GGCGUAUUACAGCUAUGGAGCAUGCGUACUGGAAAGGGAUAUCCGAAAUGAAACGGUCCUCCAUGAGAGCCACAAGCGGGCAUUCAACAACGUGAAAACUGGAUUGAAAGUGAGAGACAGAGCAGCCACUGCAGAAGCUUCCAAAAUCACUCUGCCCCUUCUUGAACUGCUGGAAUCUGCAUAGUGAAGCAGCUCCCAUGUUGCAAAUUGGACGACCAGAGCAGCACACAGUGCUCCAGAAGAGGACUCGCCAACAUCACUUCCCAACACCUGUACUCAAAAGGCCUGAGCAAUGAAGACAAGUGUGCUAAAUGCCUUCCUAACCACCCUGUCUACCUGUGAUGCAAAUUUCAAAGAAUGAUGUACCUGAAACCCGACGUUUUCUCCUGAUCUGCAACACUACCCAGAGCCCAACCAUUAAUUGUGCAAGUCCUGCCUUUGUGAAGUAUUGCGUUGUGGUAAAACAAACAUUUAUCCAAAUAAAAUUCAAUCUGCCAUUCCUCA